GACGAACGCUGGCGGCGUGCUUAACACAUGCAAGUCGAACGGAAAGGCCCUGCUUUUGUGGGGUGCUCGAGUGGCGAACGGGUGAGUAACACGUGAGUAACCUGCCCUUGACUUUGGGAUAACUUCAGGAAACUGGGGCUAAUACCGGAUAGGAGCUCCUGCUGCAUGGUGGGGGUUGGAAAGUUUCGGCGGUUGGGGAUGGACUCGCGGCUUAUCAGCUUGUUGGUGGGGUAGUGGCUUACCAAGGCUUUGACGGGUAGCCGGCCUGAGAGGGUGACCGGCCACCUUGGGACUGAGAUACGGCCCAGACUCCUACGGGAGGCAGCAGUGGGGAAUAUUGCACAAUGGGCGGGAGCCUGAUGCAGCAACGCCGCGUGCGGGAUGACGGCCUUCGGGUUGUAAACCGCUUUCGCCUGUGACGAAGCGUGAGUGACGGUAAUGGGUAAAGAAGCACCGGCUAACUACGUG
rnacentral:rRNA from 1 species